AUUGAACGCUGGCGGCAGGCUUAACACAUGCAAGUAGAACGAGUGGCGGACGGGUGAGUAAUGCUUGGGAAUCUAGCUUAUGGAGGGGGAUAACUACGGGAAACUGUAGCUAAUACCGCGUACCACAGUCUGAGCCCAAGUGGGAUUAGGUAGUUGGUGAGGUAAAGGCUCACCAAGACGACGAUCCCUAGCUGGUCUGAGAGGAUGACCAGCCACACUGGUAUUGAGACACGGCCCAGACUCCUACGGGAGGCAGCAUGGGGGAAUAUUGCGCAAUGGGGGCAACCUGACGCAGCCAUGCCGCGUGAAUGAAGAAGGCCUUCGGGUUGUAAAGUUCUUUCGGUAGCGAGGCGUUAACUACAGAAGAAGCACCGGCUAACUCCGUGCCAGCAGCCGCGGUAAUAC
rnacentral:rRNA from 1 species